UAGGGAAUCUUCCGCAAUGGGCGAAAGCCUGACGGAGCAACGCCGCGUGAGUGAUGAAGGUCUUCGGAUCGUAAAACUCUGUUAUUAGGGAAGAACAAAUGUGUAAGUAACUAUGCACGUCUUGACGGUACCUAAUCAGAAAGCCACGGCUAACUACGUGCCAGCAGCCGCGGUAAUACGUAGGUGGCAAGCGUUAUCCGGAAUUAUUGGGCGUAAAGCGCGCGUAGGCGGUUUUUUAAGUCUGAUGUGAAAGCCCACGGCUCAACCGUGGAGGGUCAAUGGAAACUGGAAAACUUGAGUGCAGAAGAGGAAAGUGGAAUUCCAUGUGUAGCGGUGAAAUGCGCAGAGAUAUGGAGGAACACCAGUGGCGAAGGCGACUUUCUGGUCUGUAACUGACGCUGAUGUGCGAAAGCGUGGGGAUCAAACAGG
rnacentral:rRNA from 2 species